rnacentral:rRNA from 1 species
AGCGAACGCUGGCGGCAGGCCUAACACAUGCAAGUCGAACGGAUCCUUCGGGAUUAGUGGCGGACGGGUGAGUAACACGUGGGAACGUGCCUUUUGGUUCGGAACAACUCAGGGAAACUUGAGCUAAUACCGAAUGUGCCCUUCGGGGGAAAGAUUAUCGCCAUUAGAGCGGCCCGCGUCUGAUUAGCUUGUUGGUGAGGUAAAGGCUCACCAAGGCUACGAUCAGUAGCUGGUCUGAGAGGAUGAUCAGCCACAUUGGGACUGAGACACGGCCCAAACUCCUACGGGAGGCAGCAGUGGGGAAUCUUGCGCAAUGGGCGAAAGCCUGACGCAGCCAUGCCGCGUGAAUGAUGAAGGUCUUAGGAUUGUAAAAUUCUUUCACCGGGGACGAUAAUGACGGUACCCGGAGAAGAAGCCCCGGCUAACUUCGUG